rnacentral:rRNA from 1 species
UUUUUUGGAGAGUUUGAUCCUGGCUCAGGACGAACGCUGGCGGCGUGCCUAAUACAUGCAAGUCGAGCGGACCGAAGGGAGCUUGCUCCUUUAGGUUAGCGGCGGACGGGUGAGUAACACGUGGGCAACCUGCCCUGCAGACUGGGAUAACUUCGGGAAACCGGAGCUAAUACCGGAUAACACC